AGCUCGGUAGCUUAGUUGGUAAAGCGCUCGUCUAGCAAACGAGUCCUGGGUUCGAAUUCGAGCUC
rnacentral:tRNA from 1 species